rnacentral:rRNA from 1 species
GACGAACGCUGGCGGCGUGCCUAAUACAUGCAAGUAGAACGCUGAUGGAGGAGCUUGCUUCUCUGGAUGAGUUGCGAACGGGUGAGUAACGCGUAGGUAACCUGCCUGGUAGCGGGGGAUAACUAUUGGAAACGAUAGCUAAUACCGCAUAAGAGUAGAUGUCGCAUGACAUUUGCUUAAAAGGUGCAAUUGCAUCACUACCAGAUGGACCUGCGUUGUAUUAGCUAGUUGGUGAGGUAACGGCUCACCAAGGCAACGAUACAUAGCCGACCUGAGAGGGUGAUCGGCCACACUGGGACUGAGACACGGCCCAGACUCCUACGGGAGGCAGCAGUAGGGAAUCUUCGGCAAUGGACGGAAGUCUGACCGAGCAACGCCGCGUGAGUGAAGAAGGUUUUCGGAUCGUAAAGCUCUGUUGUAAGAGAAGAACGAGUGUGAGAGUGGAAAGUUCACACUGUGACGGUAUCUUACCAGAAAGGGACGGCUAACUACGUG